UACGUAGGAGGCAAGCGUUGUCCGGAAUUACUGGGCGUAAAGCGCGUGUAGGUGGUGGGACAAGUCUGCUGUGAAAGCGCCUGGCUUAACCGGGCGAGGUCGGCGGAAACUGUUCGACUCGAGGACGGUAGAGGGGGGUGGAAUUCCCGGUGUAGUGGUGAAAUGCGUAGAGAUCGGGAGGAACACCUGUGGCGAAGGCGGCCACCUGGACGACAACUGACGCUGAGACGCGAAAGCGUGGGGAGCGAACAGG
rnacentral:rRNA from 1 species